UCCCUUUCAGGCUUCUCCCUUUUAAUUGCCAAAAUCACUUCAAAUUUAUAUUGUAGAUCAUAUUUUUGAGGCUUUUAAUCAUUCUUGAUUUCCUUUGGAUUCUCUCCAUAUUUAUGACGUCUUUCUUGAAAAUGAAUGAUAGUUAAGGCCAUAUAAUCUGUGCCAGAUAUGCUAAAUCUUGCCUGUCUGCUGUAAGUCCAGUUACGAAAUAUGAAUUUCCCUACCCCAGAGGAAUUAAUGACUUAUGAAGAGGAGGAAUUAUGACUAUUUUGUUUCACAAAUAAAAUAAAUCUUCAGAUUAUUUUCUGGAAAGAUAUUACUAUUAAACCAAUUAUUCUCUUUCUUUCAGUGAAUACUGCUUUUGCUGAAGGGCAGUGCUGCAAAUUUUGCACAUUUAGUAUACAGGAAUAGCUGAACCUGGUCCAGUUCAGUCCAUGCCAGAGUAUUUAUGCUACUGCCUCCUCUCCAAUGUUGGCAAAACAGAUUUCUGCGGUAAAACAGGAUGUAAGUAAGAGAUAUUAUUGUUCAUAUUGUUUUAUUUCAAUUGUGCACAUCACUAAUGAAAAAUCACAGAAGCGAGAAUAAUACAGACAUUGUCACUGUAUUUCCUGCUAUUCUGAUAAAAGCUGAAUAUGCUAAGCAGCUAUGCACUGGAAACAGUAAUCAAAGACCUUAGAAGACAGGGCAAGGACAUGACUCCUUCCUGAGAAGACAGGGAGGAAAGAGGGAGGUAGCUUUUUUAGGUGGGAAGUAAGAGAGACUGGAGCAUUCCAGGUCAGGGCAGCUGAGAAGAAGGGUCAUAGCUUUUGCUCCAUGCACCUCUCUUUGAUUUUCCCUGGAAGAAGGAAGUACAGCUACUUUGAACACCAGAAAUCUGAGAGGAGAUGUAAGUUUAACCUACAGGAAGGGGGCAUCCUGAACGCUUGGAAGAGAACUUUCUAGCAGAUUUCAGGUUUCUGUUUUUAAAACCCAAGUACUGGGUAGAACAAGGCAUGCUUGCAGAUUUUCAAAGGCCAUUUGGGCAACACGUAUC
rnacentral:lncRNA from 1 species